GACGAACCGUGCGAACGUUAUUCGGAAUCACUGGGCUUAAAGGGAGCGUAGGCGGGCUAUCAAGUCUGGGGUGAAAUCCCACGGCUCAACCGUGGAACUGCCUCAGAUACUGAUGGCCUCGAGGGAGAUAGGGGCAUGCGGAACUGUAGGUGGAGCGGUGAAAUGCGUUGAUAUCUACAGGAACUCCGGUGGCGAAAGCGGCGUGCUGGAUCUCUUCUGACGCUGAGGCUCGAAAGCUAGGGGAGCAAACGGG
rnacentral:rRNA from 1 species